rnacentral:rRNA from 1 species
UACGAAGGGGGCUAGCGUUGUUCGGAUUUACUGGGCGUAAAGCGCACGUAGGCGGAUCGUUAAGUCGGGGGUGAAAUCCUGGGGCUCAACCCCAGAACUGCCUUCGAUACUGGCGAUCUCGAGUCCGGAAGAGGUGAGUGGAACUCCUAGUGUAGAGGUGGAAUUCGUAGAUAUUAGGAAGAACACCAGUGGCGAAGGCGGCUCACUGGGCUGGUAUUGACGCUGAGGUGCGAAAGCGUGGGGAGCAAACAGG